UACGGGGGGGGCAAGCGUUGUUCGGAAUUACUGGGCGUAAAGGGCGCGUAGGCGGUUCGAUAAGUCAGCUGUGAAAACCAUGGGCUUAACUCAUGGCCUGCAGUUGAGACUGUCGGGCUGGAGUGUGGGAGAGGAGAGUGGAAUUCCUGGUGUAGCGGUGAAAUGCGUAGAUAUCGGGAGGAACACCUGUGGCGAAAGCGGCUCACUGGACCACAACUGACGCUGAGGCGCGAAAGCUAGGGGAGCAAACAGG
rnacentral:rRNA from 1 species